rnacentral:rRNA from 1 species
GGUCGACGAUUCCUACGGGAGGCAGCAGUGGGGAAUAUUGGACAAUGGGCGCAAGCCUGAUCCAGCCAUGCCGCGUGUGUGAAGAAGGCCUUCGGGUUGUAAAGCACUUUUGUUGGGGAAGAAAACCUGUUGGUUAAUACCCGGCGGGAAUGACGGUACCCAAAGAAUAAGCACCGGCUAACUUCGUGCCAGCAGCCGCGGUAAUACGAAGGGUGCAAGCGUUACUCGGAAUUACUGGGCGUAAAGCGUGCGUAGGUGGUUCGUUAAGUCUGCCGUGAAAGCCCCGGGCUCAACCUGGGAAUGGCGGUGGAUACUGGCGGACUAGAGUGCGGUAGAGGGUGGUGGAAUUCCCGGUGUAGCAGUGAAAUGCGUAGAGAUCGGGAGGAACAUCUGUGGCGAAGGCGGCCACCUGGACCAGCACUGACACUGAGGCACGAAAGCGUGGGGAGCAAACAGGAUUAGAUACCCUGGUAGUCCACGCCCUAAACGAUGCGAACUGGACGUUGGGCUCAACUAGGAGCUCAGUGUCGAAGCUAACGCGUUAAGUUCGCCGCCUGGGGAGUACGGUCGCAAGACUGAAACUCAAAGGAAUUGACGGAAUCUCUAGA